GAAGAUACAUGAGCUUGUUGGUGCAAGGAUGCAUCAUCUGUCUGUAUGCCAGUGGGAGGUGAAACUCAAGUUGGACUGUGAUGGCCCUGCAAGUGGUACCUGGAGAGUUGUAACUACAAAUGUUACUGGUCACACCUGCACCAUUGAUGUAAGUUGUCCCUACUGUUUUAGUAUUCUGUACAUUGCACACAUCACAAUACAAGUCAAUGUGUGGUUCUUAUAUUUAACUGCCAUCCAUGUCAUUAUUUUCUGAAGCACAUAGUACUUCUAAUGGUUUUAGAUAUACCGAGAAGUGGAGGAAAUAGAAUCGCAGAAGUUAGUGUACCAUUCAGCCACUUCGUCAGCUGGACCAUUGCAUGGUGUUGCACUGAAUAAUCCAUAUCAACCUUUGAGUGUGAUUGAUCUAAAGCGCUGCUCUGCUAGGA
rnacentral:lncRNA from 1 species